GUUUCAACAAAGGCAACAAUUCCCGAGAAGAGGAUGUCUGGAAAAAGUUUCAAAAUGAGGUCUGAACACAAAGCUCCUGUAAUAGGGGAGUCCCUCUACCUGUGGGCAGGGAACCAGGUUGACUUACCUAAAGUUCAUGACUCCCUUCAAAAGAG